rnacentral:rRNA from 1 species
GACUGCUUUCACCAUCCUGAACGUGCCUGAUCUCGUCUGAUCUCGGAAGCUAAGCAGAGUCUCGCUAUGUUAGUACUUGGAUGGAUACCACCUAGGAAUACCAGGCAUUGUAGGCU